GGGUGCUAUCAUACCAGCACUAAUACACCGGAUCCUAUCAGAACUACGAAGUUAAACGUGCUUGGGCGAGAGUAGUACUAAGACGGGUGACCUC
rnacentral:rRNA from 1 species